rnacentral:rRNA from 1 species
GAUGAACGCUGGCGGCGUGCCUAAUACAUGCAAGUCGAGCGAACAGAUAAGGAGCUUGCUCCUUUGAAGUUAGCGGCGGACGGGUGAGUAACACGUGGGUAACCUACCUAUAAGACUGGGAUAACUUCGGGAAACCGGAGCUAAUACCGGAUGACAUUUAGAACCGCAUGGUUCUAAAGUGAAAGGUGGUUUUGCUAUCACUUAUAGAUGGACCCGCGCCGUAUUAGCUAGUUGGUAAGGUAACGGCUUACCAAGGCGACGAUACGUAGCCGACCUGAGAGGGUGAUCGGCCACACUGGAACUGAGACACGGUCCAGACUCCUACGGGAGGCAGCAGUAGGGAAUCUUCCGCAAUGGGCGAAAGCCUGACGGAGCAACGCCGCGUGAGCGAUGAAGGGUUUCGGCUCGUAAAACUCUGUUAUUAGGGAAGAACAAAUGUGUAAGUAACUGUGCACAUCUUGACGGUACCUAAUCAGAAAGCCACGGCUAACUACGUGCCAGCAGCCGCGGUAAUACGUAGGUGGCAAGCGUUAUCCGGAAUUAUUGGGCGUAAAGCGCGCGUAGGCGGUUUCUUAAGUCUGAUGUGAAAGCCCACGGCUCAACCGUGGAGGGUCAUUGGAAACUGGGAAACUUGAGUGCAGAAGAGGGAAAGUGGAAUUCCAUGUGUAGCGGUGAAAUGCGCAGAGAUAUGGAGGAACACCAGUGGCGAAGGCGACUUUCUGGUCUGUAACUGACGCUGAUGUGCGAAAGCGUGGGGAUCAAACAGGAUUAGAUACCCUGGUAGUCCACGCCGUAAACGAUGAGUGCUAAGUGUUAGGGGGUUUCCGCCCCUUAGUGCUGCAGCUAACGCAUUAAGCACUCCGCCUGGGGAGUACGACCGCAAGGUUGAAACUCACAGGAAUUGACGGGGACCCGCACAAGCGGUGGAGCAUGUGGUUUAAUUCGAAGCAACGCGAAGAACCUUACCAAAUCUUGACAUCCUUUGAAAACUCUAGAGAUAGAGCCUUCCCCUUCGGGGGACAAAGUGACAGGUGGUGCAUGGUUGUCGUCAGCUCGUGUCGUGAGAUGUUGGGUUAAGUCCCGCAACGAGCGCAACCCUUAAGCUUAGUUGCCAUCAUUAAGUUGGGCACUCUAGGUUGACUGCCGGUGACAAACCGGAGGAAGGUGGGGAUGACGUCAAAUCAUCAUGCCCCUUAUGAUUUGGGCUACACACGUGCUACAAUGGACAAUACAAAGGGCAGCUAAACCGCGAGGUCAUGCAAAUCCCAUAAAGCUGUUCUCAGUUCGGAUUGUAGUCUGCAACUCGACUACAUGAAGCUGGAAUCGCUAGUAAUCGUAGAUCAGCAUGCUACGGUGAAUACGUUCCCGGGUCU